UUAUUUCUUGUAUUUAUUCAGACACAAAGACUGAGUAAGGCAUAAAAGCGGCGCCGAGGCGCCGAAGCACAUCUUGCUUCCACAGGUUUGCAAGGUUGAAGGCCAUUCAGUAAUGAUCCCUCCGCAGGUUCACCUACGGAGA
rnacentral:misc_RNA from 1 species